GCAUUGUAUACUGCAGGCAGGAGUGGCUUCGUGUAGCUGUUUUGUUCUUCAGAGUUGGGUGGGACACUCAGCUGUUCCCAGUUAUUUGAACGUACAGCCCUCCUUUGAUUAAAAGGCGCUGGUCUCUUAAUCCCCAUGGAGGGCAAUUCCCCACUAAAAGCUGGAGAAGUUAGCACUCUUUAAAGAACGAUCUUCUUUGAGGUUUGCAGACUCUCUCUAUUGUCCUCUUGGCUUACGCCCUUUGAAGAAGGAAGCUGCCAUAUUGGAGAGGCCCAUGAGGCAAGGAAUUGAGGGCAGGUUCUGGCCAACAGUCACUGAAGAACUGAGGCCCUUAGUCCGUCAGCCCAUGAGGAACUGCAUCCUGUCAAUGACCACGUGAGCUUGCAAUCAAAUCCUCAUCCCACUGAGCCUUGAGAUGACUCUGCUCCCAAGCAUCACCUUGACUCAGUGACCCUGAAGUAGAGGACCCAGGUACCAAAGUUGAAAGCCCCGAAUGCUCACAGAGCAGCUGGAACAAGAAUUACUGCCUGCAGGCGCUUCUGUCCACCAGCCACGUGUCAGUGAGUGGCCCUGGACCCAGCCAGGUUGUGUGUGCACCUGCGGUUCUUGCCAUGGGGAGCAGGAGCCAUUUGGCUGCUCCUCUUCAUAGGGCACCACCUGCAAUCUUUCACUGCCCAGCGUCUUCAGACUUCCAAAUAAGCCUGAAGAGGACAGGAGAGCGAGCAAUGUCUCCCUGAAUGGGACUACAGGGGACGCUGGUAACCGCACCUCAUUCAGCAACUUGAGAAACAUCAGCAAUAAUACUACAAGCAAUCGCUUAGGUACUUGACUGUGAGCAGGAAUAUGAGACAAGUGGAACACACUGGCUCUCAUUUUUUAAAGAUGAUUUCACCUUAAGAGGCCGUGGAACCCCAAAGUCAACCCCCAAGCAUCCCCAGAAGAAAAGUACACUUUGAAUAAUUACAGUCCUUUAACUUUCCUGAUUCAACCUUCAAAGGCCACGAAUUGCUUCUAACGAAGAAGCUGAAGUGAAAGAAGAAGGAACGUCAACAAAAAUGUCUGUUUGUGUUAUCUCUUUACUUUCACGGUUUAUAGGUUUGGGGGAAAGUUUUUAUUUUCGGUGGAAUAGAAGAAGGGAAGAAGAGAGACUAAAAAGCAUUUCUUAGAUUUCCAGAAGCAGUAAUGGAAAAUCCCGACCCUAGAGUCUUGCUUUCUUCCUAGAAAUAGAAUGCUCCUGAAGUUCCCAGGAGAGCCCUUGGCAGACAGAUGUCAAUCAUUCCAUCCCUUGUUUUGCUGGGUGGAGUCACUGGAGCUUAAAGAAGGGGAAGUAAACUCAAGCACACAUCCUGGUGACCUCUAGCCACGGGUCAAAUUUCACUGAUGUCAAUUAAAAAUGACCAAAGACCCGCCCCUGUGAAAACCCUGUGGGCAGCCAUUUUGUCUCAGGGAAACUGCCCAGAUCUGAUGUAAAGUAUUUCCGGACGUCUCUUCGUUGUAUAUGGCAUUUCCCUGAAAUAAGCAACUCUCUGAAAAAUAUCAUAGCGCAGAUCAAAAUGAAGUACUCUGUGGUGAAGUAGAAGUACACAGUCAACAAAGAAACUUGCCCUCAGGCUGCACAGUAAAACGUUGGAAAUCCCAGAGCAGCAACUUGGAAAUCCCACCUGCUACAUAUUUGCCUGAGUACUUUAAGGUUCUAUGGACAAUUGUCUCUCUGCGUAGAUUAACCUUAAAUAAACUUGUUGCGUUUUGAGGUGGUAU
rnacentral:lncRNA from 1 species